rnacentral:sRNA from 1 species
CCUGCGGAAGGAUCAUUUACAGAGUUCAUGCCCGAAAGGGUAGACCUCCCACCCUUGUGUAUUAUUACUUUGUUGCUUUGGCGAGCUGCCUUCGGGCCUUGUAUGCUCGCCAGAGAAUACCAAAACUCUUUUUAUUAAUGUCGUCUGAGUACUAUAUAAUAGUUAAAACUUUCAACAACGGAUCUCUUGGUUCUGGCAUCGAUGAAGAACGCAGCGAAAUGCGAUAAGUAAUGUGAAUUGCAGAAUUCAGUGAAUCAUCGAAUCUUUGAACGCACAUUGCGCCCCUUGGUAUUCCGGGGGGCAUGCCUGUUCGAGCGUCAUUUCAACCCUCAAGCUUAGCUUGGUAUUGAGUCUAUGUCAGUAAUGGCAGGCUCUAAAAUCAGUGGCGGCGCCGCUGGGUCCUGAACGUAGUAAUAUCUCUCGUUACAGGUUCUCGGUGUGCUUCUGCCAAAACCCAAAUUUUUCUAUGGUUGACCUCGGAUCAGGUAGGGAUACCCGCUGAACUUAAGCAUAUCAAUAAGCGGA